CACUCACCCCUGGGGACACGCCAUUAUUGAACUUCACAUCGGUUUGCUUUAGAAAACUGUGACUAUUGAUAUUUGACUUGGCAUUUUGUAAAUGUAAGGAUCAUAUGCCCUUAUUCUAUGAAGGUAUAACAGGAUCAUAUGCCCUUAUUCUAUGAAGGUAUAACCGGAUCAUAUGCCCUUAUUCUAUGAAGGUAUAACAGGAUCAUAUGCCCUUAUUCUAUGAAGGUAUAACCGGAUCAUAUGCCCUUAUUCUAUGAAGGUAUAACCGGAUCAUAUGCCCUUAUUCUAUGAAGGUAUAACCGGAUCAUAUGCCCUUAUUCUAUGAAGGUAUAACAGGAUCAUAUGCCCUUAUUCUAUGAAGGUAUAACAGGAUCAUAUGCCCUUAUUCUAUGAAGGCAUAACAGGAUCAUAUGCCCUUAUUCUAUGAAGGUAUAACAGGAUCAUAUGCCCUUAUUCUAUGAAGGUAUAACCGGAUCAUAUGCCCUUAUUCUAUGAAGGCAUAACAGGAUCAUAU